UGAAGCAUGCAUGGAUGGAUGAUUAGCAGACUUAGGCUAAGGGGGGGAAGCUGUGGCCUUUCUAUUAUUGGGCAUGGUGGCCUUAAAGAUAUGAUGAGUGAAAAAGAUGCCGGCAGAUCCGAGGGAAGCUAAGCUAGAUGAUGGGAAGCUCCAAGUAAGAAGUCCUUUGAUUCCGACGGUCAUUCGAAAUGUAUUAUGUGAUGAACUGUAGUUUUCGUGCCUAUAAUUAUAUUAGAUGGAUGGAAUGCAAAAACAGAUUCCCAUCUUUGCAAGGUAAAAGGAUUCUCCUAAAGAAAGGAAUCAUUGGCUUAGUUUCAAAUGCACCGCUGAAUGUUGAUGAGCUAUGUGGAUCAGCUCUUAAGAUGAAUAUCAGUUGUUAAGUGGGCUGGAUGAGUAUUCGCAUAUCUUUAAUGGUCUUUUGAACCCUCUGUAGGAUAGUGGUGGGUAGGCACAACGAGUCUUUUUCAUAUAAUGCUCUUGCUUUUUUCCUUGGAAGUGCUCUCCAUAGAAAGUUCCUUAUGCUUGUCUCUUGU
rnacentral:lncRNA from 1 species